UUAAUUGAAGAGUUUGAUCAUGGCUCAGAUUGAACGCUGGCGGCAGGCCUAACACAUGCAAGUCGAGCGGCAGCACAGAGGAACUUGUUCCUUGGGUGGCGAGCGGCGGACGGGUGAGUAAUGCCUGGGAAAUUGCCCGGUAGAGGGGGAUAACCAUUGGAAACGAUGGCUAAUACCGCAUAACCUCGUAAGAGCAAAGCAGGGGACCUUCGGGCCUUGCGCUACCGGAUAUGCCCAGGUGGGAUUAGCUAGUUGGUGAGGUAAGGGCUCACCAAGGCGACGACCCCUAGCUGGUCUGAGAGGAU
rnacentral:rRNA from 1 species